CUCUGUCGGGGCCGCUCCGGUGACCGGGGCUCUGUCUUUGCAGGGUGGACAAUGGGGCCUCUGCUGCAGCUGGCAAGAUGGGGCCUCUUGGGCCGUAGCCUGUCUCUGGUCCAGGCCGCGAGGAGCCUCCACUGUGGGGUCUCCAGCUGGAUCCAUGUGAAGUUGCCUCCUGAACCUAAAGAGGUUGAUCGCUGGACAGAGAAACGAGCCUUAUUUGGGGUCUAUGACAAUAUAGGAAUUCUAGGAGACUUCCACAUUCACCCCAAGGACUUGAUCACAGGGCCCAGGUGGCUGCAAGGCUGGAGGGGAAAUGAGCUACAAAGAUGCAUCCGCAAGAAGCAAAUUGUAGGACACCGAAUGUUUGAACAGGAUUACAAGAACCUUAACAAAAGGAUCAGGUUCCUGUACAGACGCUUCAACCGCACUGGAAAGCACCGCUAGGAGCAGACCUGUGAGAGCUAGCCAUGUGCAUCCUGGAAGGAAUGGCAUCCUGGGUCUAACAGGUUUAACACCUGGAGCUGUGCACAGAAUGGGGUGUUGUAAAAUCAUAAUAAACUGAGUUUCUCUUCCACAACCACCUUCUACUUCUGGUCUCUCUUGAAGCUCAGUUCCAACCCACAGACCCUUCUGCUUGUCCAGUCCUGAGCUCCCUUUGCACACCUUUGCUGAUUCCUCCUCCACCACCACCCUUAAAUUUAUCUUCUUCCUGCUUCCCUUAGUUUGGCUCCCCAUCUUCCUCUAUUGCAACCCCUCCCUAUAGUAUCUGGUUUCCAGCUUCAUAGUUUGUCACACCAACCUUAAUAUUGAAAUGACACAAAACAUUAAAUGUUUUCAAUUACCAGACACAAGCGCUCAGACAACCUUAAUUCCAUUUUAUAAUUCUCCCAGAGAGUUGCAAGUCUGUCUUGUAUUCUUCUUUUCCACUGAUUCCCCAUCUGCUACAGCUCACAGUUUAGUCAUCUGUCUGUCCUUCAGAACCCUCCAAUGAAUUGUGACUUGAGUAAUGCUGAAGUUACCUUAACAGCCGAGAAUUGAAGUUGCAUUGAAAUUUGUCUUUAAAGGAUGAUUAAUCCUUUUAAUACACACUACUUCCUGUGUUUAAUCUCUAUAUUUAAUAUACAC